AGAGUUUGAUCCUGGCUCAGGAUGAACGCUGGCGGCGUGCCUAAUACAUGCAAGUCGAGCGAACAGAUAAGGAGCUUGCUCCUUUGAAGUUAGCGGCGGACGGGUGAGUAACACGUGGGUAACCUACCUAUAAGACUGGGAUAACUUCGGGAAACCGGAGCUAAUACCGGAUAACAUUUAGAACCGCAUGGUUCUAAAGUGAAAGAUGGUUUUGCUAUCACUUAUAGAUGGACCCGCGCCGUAUUAGCUAGUUGGUAAGGUAACGGCUUACCAAGGCGACGAUACGUAGCCGACCUGAGAGGGUGAUCGGCCACACUGGAACUGAGACACGGUCCCAGACUCCUACGGGAGGCAGCAGUAGGGAAUCUUCCGCAAUGGGCGAAAGCCUGACGGAGCAACGCCGCGUGAGUGAUGAAGGGUUUCGGCUCGUAAAACUCUGUUAUUAGGGAAGAACAAAUGUGUAAGUAACUGUGCACAUCUUGACGGUACCUAAUCAGAAAGCCACGGCUAACUACGUG
rnacentral:rRNA from 1 species